rnacentral:tRNA from 1 species
AGCCAGUGUGGUAGCGGUUAAGAGUAUUGCGCUAGGAUCCAAGAGACCGGGGUUCAAAUCCCUGCUCUGCUA